rnacentral:lncRNA from 1 species
CAAAUCCAUUCUCAAUUGUGUGGUUCCCUAUACUACAUGAGAUAGUGGGGGAGCCUGGGUCUUUGCAUUUUAAAGGAAUUUUAUGUUGGAGUAUAGAACUAACGUUUUCUGUUAAAAAUGCCUUCUUUUGAACAUGCAUAUUUCUCUUUUUAGUACAAAGGUCUUUAAGAAACUUGGCAUAAGAUGGAACUUGCUUUAUAGCAUCAAGUAAAGGGAUGUUAACACUUACCUGUUUGAAGAUUUCGAGAAUCUCACCUGUGGAUUUUCCCUUCUUUCCUUUCACUAACCUCUGAGGAAAUGGAGCUUUGGGAACGUAUUCUCGUGGGUUGGUUUCUUCUUUCUCCUCCGGUGGUGAGUCCUCAACAUUCACAGGUACAAUUUGAUUUUCUUUGGUCACCGGCAUCUCCACUUUGUUGUCGACUUCCUUUCCUUUUCGCAAGGUCAUGACUGCUUUGACCUCUCCAUGCUGUUGUGGUGAACUGGUACUUGCUUCAUGCACUCCUUUAGGAUUAGGCACUGGUUGACUUGGAAACUUGCCUUUCUCAACAGUCAUUGCCAAGGUCUGAACUGAAGAAGCAAGUUGUCCCACCAUCUUCUCGAGGCUUGAAACUGAUUGGGCUUGUGAAUUGAAGCCCGCUCUCAACUCAUUUCGUAGUCCAUCAAUGGUGCGAUUCUGUUGCUCAAUCGUGGAGUGAGUAACAUUCUUGAAAUUCUGGAAUGCAUCCUCCCAUGGUCUGGGUUGAGAGUAGUUCUGGUUCUGAUUGUAUGGUCUGAAUGGUGGCUGAGAGGCUUGAGGAUUUUGAGGAAUUUGUUGCAUUGGUGGAGCUGCUGGUCCAUUCUGUUGGAAUCCUUGAGACCAUGAAAAAUUGGGGUGGUCUCUCCAUCCAGGAUUAUAUGUGUUGGAGUAUGGGUUGUAAUUCGAUGGUUUUCUCAUUACACCUAUGGCAUUGGCUUGAUCUGAGUAUGAGUCAUGGUCAUGUGAUUCUGUUGAUUUAGCAGUCGAUAACGAUGCUAUUUGUCGAGCAAGACCUUCAACCAUCUCCUUGACUUCUUUGAUUUCCGAAGUUGACUCGCCAAUUUGAACCUCAUUUACUCCCUUAAUUCUUCUAGUAUUCCUGAGUGAUCGACUCCGUUGUUGGGAAUUAUCCGCUUGUCGCUGGAAGAAUUCCCAAAUCUCUGAUGCACUUUUUGACAUUAGCUCUCCUCCACUUGUUGCCAUUAGCCAUUCUUGCACAUUUGGUAGUAAUCCCUCCAAAAAGUAUUGGCAUUGGUGCCAUUUCUCAUACCCAUGAUGUGGACACUUCAAGAGUAGCCCAUUAAAUCGCUCCCAUGUUUCGAAAAACUGCUCGUCCUCUCUUUGUGUAAACUCUGAAAUUUCCCUGCGAAUAGAAUUGGUUUUAUGCACUGGGAAAUAUUUAUUUAGAAAUUUUGUAACCAUUUGUUCCCAUGAUGCAAUGCUAUUAGCAGGCAAAGUAUUUAACCAUGAACGAGCUCUAUCCUUUAAAGAAAAUGGGAAUAAUCUGAGUUUAACAUCAUCGUCUGAAAAUUUUUCAUAUUUAAAAGUUUGACAAAUGGUAUGAAAAUCAUUCAGAUGAUUAUAUGGGUCCUCAUUUUCUAAGCCAUAGAAUGUGGGGAGACAAUUUAGCACACUAGGUUUUAGUUCAAAGCUCCUAGCAGCUACAUUUGGGUAUCUAAUACAUGAUGUGCUCAAAUUAGCUAAGGGACUAAAAUAGUCCUUAAAUGGCCUCUCCUGUGGUGCUUGUAAAUCCAUUCCAAUUUUAUUUUUAAUGUGUUUUUGUGUGCGAAGUGUUUUUUCUAAUUCAAGGUCUAUAGGUUCAAGAUUAGGUAAUAAUGACCUACGACCAUGCAUGCAAAAUAAAAAUAAAAAUAAAGAUAGGAACAAAACAAAUAAAAAUAAAUAAGAGGGAGAAAUUACGAUACUAACCUUAUUGCGCUAUUAUAACCUUACUAUAAAAAUACACAAAAAUAAAUACGUGAAAUACAUUAACUAAAAAUUAAAUUAAUAAGAUAAACAAAAAUUACAAAGAAAAAAAUAAAUUGAAAAUUAAAUUACAGAAUUUUAAAGAAGAGAAAAAGAAAAGAAAUACUAACCUCUAAAUGCGGAUUCACUUUUUUUUUUUUUUUUAAUAAAAAAUACAAGAAAACAAUUCAAAAUAAAUUAUUCACAAAAAUUAAUUCUAUGAAUUAAAAUUACUUACCUCCCCGGCAACGGCGCCAAAAACUUGUUGUGCAAAUUUUAAUGUACUCGCAAGCGCACGAAUCUAUUGUAGUGUAGAUCAAUGGUGACGAGUGUCGAUCCCACAAGGAGGUGGAUUUUAAUUAUAUAUAGAAUUAAUUUUGUAAAUGGGUGGUUGGAAUUAUGGUGGAAAUGAUUUGGAAUAUGCUAAAACUUAAUUAAAAUGGCGAGAAUAAAUUCUAAAAUUGGAAUUGCAAUGGCGAGAAUAAAUUGAAGAUAAUUCUAUUGAAAUGACGUACUUGGGUAUUCGGAUCCGUAUCAACAUGCAUCAUGGGCUAAAUAUUUCUUAUUAAUGCCAAUUAAAUCAUGAGGGGGGAAUCCACACUUCAUGAAUCACGCUCUAAUCAAUAUGGUGCUAAGGGCUUAUCGUGCCAAAUAAUAAUAACCUUAUACUAGAGAGCCGGUGUAACCAAGGCGGUAUCUAGACAAGAUCAGUAUUAUUUGUCGACGAUAAGUCAAAUCAUCCACAAAAACUAGAGGGGAAAAGAAAAUAAAUUUACCAAAUAAAGCCCAUGACACAUGUUGAGACUUCACCUUCAACCCAAGCUUGAAAGGAAAUUAGCUACUCAUAAUUGAACUAGGGGCAAAAUGGGAAUUUAUUAAAAUACAAAGAAAAUACAAGAUGGAGAGAGAAUUACAGAAAAUGGAUCCCAAAAAUAGAUUCAGAGAUAUCAAAUUAGGGGGGGGAGGCCCCCUUUUUAUAGAUACAUGGAGUAAAUCAUGGCCAUCGGAUUAAAAACAGUUUGGACGCUCAGGAUUGCGCCACGUCAUCAGUCAACAGUCCACGGUUUGACCACGCGGAUGAACAGUAACACGGUUUGACCCGGAUGAACAGUAACGCGGUUUGGUUGAAAAUAAUCCUGUGUGAUGCAUGCACCGUACGCAAUAUUUUUCAUCCACUGAUAUGCUGCCACGUCACCGUCAACAAUACAUAAGAAUUUUAGUCCAACAGGAUCGUGACACCUCAUCAGUCAAUGCCACAUCAUCGGUCAAUGCCACGUCAUCGAUCCGUCUAUGUGAACAGUAUCGUGAACAGUAACGUAGACAGUACCGUAUACGUGAAUAGUACCGUACAUGUGAAUAGUGCCAUUUUUCCUUUUAUGCUCCUCCUAAGGUUUUCGACCGUCCUGAGUUCAAAAGUGAUGUCCGUUUUGCCGUCUGAUCUCUCCUUUAUUGUGAAAUGACUAUAAUGCCCCUAAAAUACAUAAAAUACUUAAUUAAAAUAACACACACGUAAUUACAUCACAAGAAGGUUAAAUACAUAAAAGUAAGGGUUGUUAGUAAGACUUGAAAUGUAAAAUGACAGUUUUCUCCUUUAUAAAUAUGCAUUUUCUAACACUCAACAGUAAGAGGACCGUGGCAUUUCGACAAAGCAUUGAUUAUGCUAAAGGAACCUAGUGGGAUUAGAAAUAUGAGGAAAGAAGAAUUCACACAUGUAGCCUUUUGGGUGUAGAUCCACAAUAUACCUAUAGUAUGCAUAAAAUGGGACAAUGUCCAAAAACUGGGGGAGUUGCUAGGAGUGGUCCUAGAAGUGGAAACGAAUGAUGAUGGGGAAUGUAUUGGUCCAUAUGCAAGAGUUGGAAUUUUCAUCGACAUUACAAAACCAUUAGAAAAAAUGGUUUUACAUGAAGGCUUUGUCCAAAUUACAAAAAACUUGGGUGAAUCGAGGAAGAGAUAAAUGGAAAGAAUGUUGGAGCGGCCCAACAAUGGCUUCACAGAAUUAGAACACCAUGGAAGAAGUCAGUUACAACAAAUUGGCUUGAAUCCAUAUGAGAAUGAACCUAGGUCAAACCAACCUAAUUUAGGUCAUAAAGAAGGCCAAACUACUAAGACCGGUGAGCAAUUAAUGCAAAUGACUCUGGAACCAAGGAAACAACAAGACAAAAGUCAGAAGCAACCUAGCACAACUGUUGUUGAAAACAUAACUGACAGCCUAAGUGGUUAUAGGAAACAGAGAGAAGAAGUAUAAACAGAAAAUCGAGAGGGAACAAAUUUUAGAGUGGCGCCAAAUUUAAAGCCAGUUUUAAUCUCCAACAAAAGCCCUAGUAAAGACCAAGGCAAUUUAAGUCCAGAUGAAGUAGUGUAUGAUGAGCCGGACAUAAAAACUACUAGGCCCAAAUGAAGAAAAUGGAAGCUUCAGGCCAUAAAUAUAAAUACAAAAGGGCACAUAAGAUAUGCGUUAAUUCGAGAAAAAGGGCCAGGAGGUGAAUCACCAAAGCCAAGCCCAAACCAUAAAAAGAAUCGAAUUCAAAGCCCUCAUAAAGCUAUUGUAGCUAAAGCAAACACUGGCAGCCGGUUUCCACACAAACACAAACUAUACUAGGAUGGCUUGGGAACAGUGGAAAAUGUUGAAACCAAUCAUGUUGCAACUCAAUCGGCAGAGGCUGAGGAGCAGCCCUACCAACAACCAUGAAAAUAUUAAGUUGGAACGUCCGAGGGAUGGGGAAUGACCGGACAUUCAUUGGUCUAAAAGAGUUCCUCCAAUUGUAUAGGCCUCAGUUGAAUUUCCUAUGCAAAACUAAACUGAAGACUGUAUAUAUGAAUAAUGUUGGCAAGAAUUUGAAGAUUGACAAUUGUUUUGUUGUGGGUAGUAAGGGAAAGAGUGGGGGUUUAACUAUGUUAUGAAAUUAUGAAACUUCAGCAGCCACCACAUUGAUGUUGAGAUAGAAGCUGAAAAUGGAAAUCAAAUAAGAUGCACUAGGGUUUAUGGCCAUCCAAAGACGAGUCAGAAAAAACACACGCAGACUCUCUUAAGAAGAUUAGUAGGUUGGUCUUCAUCUUCAUGGCUAUACUUUGUUGAUUUUAAUGAAAUUCUACAUUUGGAUGAGAAAAAAUGGAGGAGAUGAUCGGGAGGCUAGUAUGAUUAGUGAAUUUUUUUUUAUUUUGUUGGUAUUUGAAAAGUAACAUUACGAAUAUGUUUGAAAAGCUAUAUUCUACAAAUUCUAGUUUGCAUAAUGUUGGAUUAAUGUUGUUUAAUUGUUAUCUUUAUCUACAUACUUAAUAAGCUAGAAAUAUUGCAAUUUUAUGUUUAUUGUCUUGUCUUUUACACCUUUCCUUAUUUUUUUAGGUGAGUCUACACAAGUAAGGCAAGCUCGUGGACUUGCUCUUGGUGUUGAGGAGUGGGGCACAGGAGAAAUUAUGCAUUUACAGUUCAAUUCUGAAUGGCUAGUGAUCGGUUUAAAUUCAUCUAAGUUUAAGUCUCACCUUGGGAUUAUAGUAAAAAAUGGACUAAAGGUUCCUCUUACAUAUGCUAAACGGACUCACAUGCCUGAUGAUAUCCUGGAAUUUAUUUGGAAAGAAGUGAAGGUAUCAACAAUUUGCAUCUCUCUAUUAAAUAUAAAAAAAAAGACUCAAUAUUUUCUUUCAAAAUAUGUGAUUUAUAAUCUUGUAUCUUAAAUCUUGGUCAUAAAAAGAUCAAGCUAAAAUUCCAUAUGAUAAAUACGCUUACAGCUUUGUUGUUGCUCUCAAUUAUUAUUUUUUUUAAUAGAGUUAUGGUACAACUUUUUUUUUUUCAAUUGAUAUCCAUAGGAAAAUAUAGAUGCUCCAAAUGCCUACAAACCUUAUUGCCUAAAGAAUGCAGGAAAACGUUGGAAGGAUUGGAAAUAUCGACUAAAAAGUGAGCAUUAUAAUGGCAAGACAGAUGCAGAACGCCUUGCAUCCAUUCCUCCUAGGGUUGUUGAAGAGAAGUGGAAGACAUUGGUAGCUUAUUGGGACACUGAGGAAUCUAAAGUAUAUGAUCAAUUUCCAUAAUUGUUAACUAUUUCCAUGGUUUCAUUUUUAGCAUCCACCAAAACAAAAGAUAAAACUAAAUAUUCUUUGAGUUAUAGGCUGUUGCAGAAAAAAAAUAAAAUGAAUCAUUCACAAAGUGCAUUCACUUCCUAGAACUGGUCGAACUUCAUUUGCCAUUAAAAAAGAGCAGGUUAGUAUUAUGUUUUUCAAUUAAAUAUGCAGACACGAGUUUUUUGUUUAUAUUUUAUAGUGGUUUUACAAUUUAAUCUGACAUCCUAUGUUUAAAUUAUCAUGAUUUUCAUUACAUUUAAAGUGUGCUUGAUUUUGAUUUUUCAUUCUUCUAAUACUUUGAAUGCAUUAUCUUUUUUCAGAUGAAGAAACAAGUGAAAAAGACAAAUCGAAUAAGCAUUUUUAUUGAAACUUGAUCAAAACGUAAUGGUAGUAUAAGCGAUCUAGAGAGUGAAGAAAUAAUUGUAAGGAAGAAAAAAAUCAAGUAUUUUAAUAUUAUUUCAUAUUGAGAUAACAAACAAACAUUUUAUAUUCUAAUCAAGUUUAAAUGUUUGUAGAGUCAAUUUCAUGAACAUUUGUCUCACUUACCAGAGGAACAACAAACAGAAGCUGUGAGAGAUCGAGUUUUUACUCAAGUAAUGGGACCUAAUGGUCAUGGAUAUGCUCGAACUUAUGGGCAUUGUCCAACACCAUCAGAUGUGAUGCGCACAAAGUCAAAUGAAACUAAUGAAAUACUGCAACAAGAGGUAAAUCGUCUUAAAUCCAAUUAUGCUGGCCUUCAAUGCAAAUAUAGUGAUCUGCAUACUAAGUAUGCUGAGAUACAUUCAUUUAUGAGAAGCCAUUUUGAUGAUUUUGCAAAUAUAGUGAUAUGCAUACUAAGUAUGCUGAGAUACAUUCAUUUAUGAGAAGCCAUUUUGAUGAUUUUGCUGCCGAGAUUCAAUCAUCCACAAAUGAGCGGGUAUGAUUUUAAUGUAGUAGUCUAUUUCGAGCUAUAUUUUAUUCUCACUUAUUCAUAAGUUCAUUCCUUGGGUUUUGCUUCAAAGAUUAAGACUUCAUUGGCAUGGGAUUGAGGUUGCAUUCUAUUAGUAAUUUUAAUGUGGGUUGAAAUUAUUCUUGACUGGAAAUUUUAUUAGUGUGAAAUAGGAUUUCAAGUAACAUUGUUGGGUUGGUAAAAGGACCAAAGUGUGAAAAAGAAGUACAGAGAAUGAAGUGGUGGAUUAAGUACUUUUUGAGAAGUAAUAAUUUGACGAGAAGUGGACUAAUUUGCUUCUUGGAAAAUCUGCAUUUGUUGGCAAUGAUUGAUUUUGGCGACUUAAAUUCUUUAACUGUAAAUAAGUUCUUAAGAAUGACCUGUUAAAUGAGUAAAUAUUUUUCAUUUAAUAUCAAGCACUUAUCUUUGGAAUUAAGCAGCUUAUAGUGUAGAGACAAUUAAUCAAAAUCAUUGUUGAUUUUAUUUGCUUCUCAUUUGUAGAUUCCAUAUGCAUCAAGUUCUCACCAUAACAAUCAAAAUGCAAACCCUGAUUUUGAGAGUAACAACUAGCAUGCUUAAUUACGCAGUGGAUUUUAUAAUUGAUUUGUAGAUUUUAAUGGAUAAUGUUGUUGGAUAAUUGGUUCAUUGUAUUGAUUUUAAAACUUGUUAUUUUAGGUUUGUAAUUGUUACUUUUCAUUCACAUUGUAUAUUAAAUUGAAAAUUAUCAAUGAUAUAUUUCAUAUUUUGAAAUUAUAUGAAUGUUAUUCAGAAUGUGAAUGAUGUUAUCAAUAUAUUUUGGGUAGAAAAUGAAAAAAAAAUUAGAACAGGAUUUGGGAAGAAAAUGGGUGAAUAAUAACACUUGAUUACUUAUUUGCGUCGCUUAAAUUCUAGCGACAAUCAUGUUAGUUUACGACUGCUAGUUUGCCGUCGCAACAAAUGUUAUACAACAGCAAUUCCCUCAUCGCAAAUAGAAAACGACGCGAUUACUUGCGUCAACCAUUUGCUGUCUUAUUGCCAACGUAAAAGGUCUUUCACGACGGUAAAUAGCCGUCGCAAAAGGCCCUUUUUCUUGUGCUGACCUAGCAAUGAAUUGAAAAGGAGUAGUUACGAAUGUGAAAUACAUGUGUUUUCUUAUUUUAUUCCUUAAUUUUUUUUAAGGAAUCAAUCACUUUCGUUCUAUAUGGAACUUUUUUUUCCACUUAAAAGUUGUGGCCCGAUAUGUUAAAAUUUAAAGCCCAUGUGCGGUUAAUUUUAUUGGCUCAUGGGGGUUAUUUCCAUGAAUUUAUAUUCCGAUUGGUACAACUUUUUACAUUGAACUUAUUCAAUCCGAGUUUUGAUUAUUAGAGCUUUUAUAAUAGUAAAAUUUUUAUUAAAUUUUUUUAGUUAUUUAGUUAUUAAUAAAAAAUUUAUUAUAAAUUGUAAAAUUAUUUUAACAAAUAAAAAUUUUAAAUUAUUUUAUUAAGUGAAUGAAAUGAGGAUAUAAAAUAAAUAUAGUCAUUUUAGAAAAUUCAACUUUUUAAAAAGCUCCAGCCUCUACUUCGAAAAAAUAAAAAUUUGAAGUUUUAAUAAAAAGUGCACGUUUGAUAUGGCUUAUUGGAUGAUCAUACGUUCUUAUUUUAACUCAUAAGUUCUUUUAAAUUUUUUGUUAUUGUUUGUUUGUCUCUCUCUAUUUUUUUUUUUUUUUAGUAGAGUUUUUAAAAGUUAAAUGAGUUAUUUUGUCACUACUAGUAAAAAAUUCAAGUUUUUGCUUUUUGGGAAUAGUGAUUGUAAAGGUUUUUUUUAAUAUUAAAAUAUUUAAAGUAGUAUUUACUUAUUUGAUAAUCUAAUUUCAUUCUUUUUAUAACAAUACUUUAAAUUACUUGCAUAUUAAAAUAAUUUUAUAAUUUUUAAUAAAAAUUUUUAUUAACAAUCAAAUAACUAAAUAAUUUUUACUAAAAAAAUUCUACUUAAAUGAUUUCUAUUUGAAAAGAUAUACGAAAUAAAAAUUAAAAAUAAAAUAAUUUAUUUAAUCCCAGAAACUCUACUUAAAAUACAAUUGAACAACACCAUAGAAAUUUUGAAAAGUACUUUUUGAAAUUAAAUAAAAUACUUAAUGUAUAAGAAAAGGGAAAUCAAGGACGCAAUUAAUGAUGGCUGAUUAUAAGCACGAGACAUUUUUUCUUCGUUCUUAAGAAUUCUUUUCUCAUUGGUGGUUCAACCUCCACCUCCAGUGGCAGUAUGGGGCUAUGAGCUUGGAUUCGCCCCUAUAUAAUAUAGUGUGUGCAUAUGUAUGAUGUGUAAGAAAAUUAAUGGAGCAGAUAUUUCUUUUUAUAUUACUUAUUUGCUUACUUUGGGAAAAAAAAAGGUGGGGUAAAGCUUAAACCAACUUUUACUCUCUUGCUUGCUUCCUUCGUAUUUGAAUUCAAUGGCUUGCUAAGAAAGCUGAUUGAAAACUACCUGACCAAAUCCUUGAGAGCAAAUUAUUUAUUUGUUUGAAUUUUGUUUGGUUAGAAAAAUUCAUACAAAAAUUUAGAACGUAUAGAAAACAAUUUAUACAAAUACAUUGACCUACUAGCUUCAAUUGUCAAAAUUAUUUUAGGAGGAAAAGUGCAAAAAAAAAUUUAAAUGUCCAAUUAAAUAUAACUGAACCUUUCAUCAAUGUGUUUGUAUAUAUAUUAAUUUCAUGUAUUUAGUAAAAAAAAAGUUAUAAUAAUAAUAUGAUCUAGUGAGAUUAGAAUUAGAAGGGGCAAUAUGGGACAUGGCAUGAUUGCAAUAAUAUCAAAUUCGUGUUGAUAUAAAUUGACGUGUUUGAUAAAUGGAUUGACACGACAUGAGUAAUAAUCAUGCUAUACCUAAAUUGGACCAUCUCAAUAUAUUUUUUGUUUAUUACACGAAUAUAAAUGAAUAUGUGAUAAUAUUAUUUUAAAAAUAACUACUAAGUUAACUAUUUAUGUCAUUUCCAUAUUGUGUCAUCAAUUUAUUCAUGUCAUAAUUAAUUUCAUGUUAACUUAUUUAUGAGCUAUUUAAAAAAAAUUGACAUAUUUGUUAUAUUUUACAUUAAUUUUUAAUUUUUAAUAAAUGUGUUAACAACAAGAAUAGCAUGAUUAACAAAUUGGUCUUAUCCGUGUGUUUUGAUGUUUUGACAUGAUACAAAGACAACACAAGAGUACAAAUUUCCACCCCUAGUUAAAAUACUAGUAUUUUGACACAUUAUAUCAUAUUUUAUUAUAUCAAACUAUAAUGCAAUAUUAUGAUUGGUAUAGUAUAUGCUGCAUUAUAUGAAAUAAUAUUUUUAUUUUAAUAGUUAUAUUAAAUUAAUAAUUUAAGAUUCAUUAAUAUCUUUUAUUAUUUUAUUCAAUUGACAAUUUAAAUUUUUAUAAUUAAAAUAAAUAAUCUUCACUGCUGAUCAACACACCGCGCAAUGCUGUACUUUGAUAUCAUUUGAACUUUAUUUUGAUACCAUUUGAAUUAUAGAUUUCUAGUCAUUGAAGCUACAACAGUACUGUAAAUUUACAAUAAUUGAAAGCUUCUAUGUUAAUAAUAGUUACACCAUUUUAUAGUUCGGAGAAUAAGGAUUCUAAUAAUAGUAAUUUUAGUACAAAAUAUGAUGUAAUACGGCUGCCACUGGUGGCUAGCCGUUGUCAAAUUGUCGAACGCAGUUCAUCAUCUUCAUUUUUGGUUUUUAUUAUUAUAAUUAAAGAAAUUAAAAAAAAAAAAACUAAUGUGAAUAGCGUUGAUUUAAAAAAAAAAUUGGAGGUCACUCAGGAUCACUAGUUCAGAUAAAAAAAAAAAAAAAACCAAGCUCCUCCUCGAAGUUAGCGGAAUAACGCAACAGCUGCAUUGCAACCUUAAAGUUGUACCAAAUAUAAGAUUGGUGGAUUUCAUUAAAGUCUAAUAAUACAAUAUAAUUUCAAAUAAUACUAUAUAUCUUAAAUUUUUUAUUUUAAAAAAUUAUUUUAAAUGAUGUGUCAUUUAUUAAUUAAUUAGUGAAAUAAUAUAAUUAAUUUACUUAAAUUUUAUAAAAAAUUAUCAACUAUUUAAUUAAUGUUACAUUAUUUAAAAUAAAAAAUUUAAAAUGUGUAGGAUUAUUGAUACAAUCCCACAUAAAGUAGGUGCCAGGCACGCCCCUGGUAAAUAUAAGUGUGGGAAGUAAUUAGGGGUUCAAAUAAGGCCCCACCCUUUUGCUUUGUGUCUUUUCAAAUAAUAAUAGUCACAAGAAGCUCAAGCUCUGCGACGUCGUUUCUUAAAGUCAACAUCAGACGAUGGCAUUAUACAGCUUGCUAACGACUCCUUCCAGCACUUUGCCCAGAAACUCGCACUGCAUACACACAAUUUCUUGUGCUUUACCCCUUUUGUUUUUUUAAAUAUUUUUUUAAGUAAAAGAAUUCAAACGUUAUAGACCACAAGUAUUGACCAGAAUCAACGGUGCAGAUCCCUUCCCCACAGUAAGAAAAUUUGAUAAUAACGUACGAGCCCCACUUUUGCGUUUUCCCAAAUAAGGAUCUAGUUUAGGCAUUUAUAACCAAAAAGUCUGCAAUUGCUAUGGAAGUGAUCUAGCUAGUCAGUAAUCACCCUUGUAAUGUUACAAUAAACAUGAAAGCGUAUCGAAUCUUAGGACUUGAAUAUAUCUAAAUGUAACUCAAAUAUGAAUACCUCUGAAUGUAUGUAUUAUUUCUUUUUUUUUUAUACUUGAUCAAAAUAUCCUAAAAACAUUAUUUUUCCAUACUUAUAAUUUUAUUACUGAAAAUGGAUAUAGUUUUAGUGUGGUCAAAGAAAUAAUGGUUUACCAUAAAAGUAACUCUUACAUUAAUUUAUGCUAAUAGUUUAUUUAUGUUGUGCUCUAUAAUACUCAAGGAAUCUAUUUAUCUUUGAAUAAAAAAUAGUAGAUUCUCAAUUAUCAGUAGCAAAGGUUGAAACCAUUAUCGAGUUAUUUAGAAGAAUCGAGAUAAUAGAAUUGCUGUCAAAUGUAAAUCAGUAAGCAAUAAGUCAUUUGAAAUGAAGCCCUCCACUUAAAGAAUGGUUCAAAGUUAAUUUAAAUGCAUCUAUUAAAGCAUAUCAAUAGCUUGUAGGUUGGGAGAUGGCCAUUAAAGAUUCAAAUGGGAAUUUUGUGGAAGGAGAAAAUUAAGAGAUCAAGCUAAUAUGAUAAUGUAGCUUAUGCAGAAGUCGAUGCAGCAAAGUUGAGAAUUCAAGUUAUUGAAAAUGCAACGUGUCUAUUAUUGAUUAUAGAAUUAGAUUCCAAAAAAGUUGCGGAUCUUUUCUUAAAUAAAGAGGCUGCAAAAUUGAGAUUGUUAGGAAAAAUUGAAAUAUUUGAACAAUGUAAAAUUUUAGAACACUACGAGAGUUUAUAAUAUUAGUGUCCAUUAUUUAUCUAAAUUAACUUUAGAAAAUGAACAACUUAUUGUAUGGUUGGAUGUAAUGCUAGUACAGAUCAUGUCUCUUUUCUUGCAAUUGAAUUAAUAAAAACUUUACUUUCCCUUUUUUUUAAAAAAAAAAAAAAGAAAAGCUCUUCGUUUAGAUUAAAUGGUAAGUCAAAUUUUUUGUGUUAAGAUGUUGUGAGUGAUGAUGGACUUAUCCCCUAAAAAUAGAAAAUAUGUCAAUAUAUUAUAAAACCUAAACAGUUAGGGACUCAGACGUCAUUACACAUCACGAAAAUUCAUAGAGAGUUUCUAGAUCCUUCCAUCUCCUCAUUUUACUCGUCAAACACUCAACAUCAAAAACCAAACCAAACCACACACAGCUAACUCUCUCAUCAACAAAUCCUCACCGUCCACUCUCUCUGUUAUAAGUCGAGAUCCAACGUUUCUUCUUCCUCUCUCUCUUUCUGUUCGCUCGCUCGCCGUCUCGCGUCUACUCUGAAGAUCUGGUUGGCUCUCUGCCUCUCUCUCUCUUGUCUUCUCUUUGACCGAUCUUAAAUUUAACAAUACGAUUAUAAUUAUAAUUAUAAUUUCUUGUUUUAAUUUAUGUUAUUAUUCAGAAAUUUUUUAGUACAAGAAGAUGUUCGGAAGAGCGCCAAAGAAAAGCGAUAACACAAAGUACUAUGAGAUUCUCGGAGUCUCGAAAAACGCUUCGCAAGAUGAUCUGAAGAAGGCUUAUAGGAAAGCCGCCAUCAAAAACCAUCCUGACAAGGGCGGUGAUCCUGAGAAGGUUUAUUUUUAUUUUUUAAAAUUACGAUUUUUUGUUGUUAUUUGUUUUGGUUUUUAAUAACUCAGCAUGCUUGUUUCGAUUUACAGUUUAAAUUGUUUGCAUAUGUGGAUCAAAUUGUUUAGAUCUAUUUUUCUUUUAAAGUUUGGAUAUUUACUGGAUUGCCACUCGAGGAUUAAUUGAAACUGUGUUGUUAAGCUGAACUGCUGGAGCUGGGAACUUUGUUUUAUUGGUCAAAAUUGAAUUUUUGUUUUUUUGUGCCAUAUUUGGUAAUUUAAUUGAUAGUGUGAUUACUGAACAUCUGAAAUUUUACUUGUUAUUCAGUUUAAAGAGUUGGCACAAGCGUAUGAGGUUCUGAGUGACCCAGAGAAGCGUGAAAUAUAUGAUCAAUACGGCGAGGAUGCGCUUAAAGAGGGAAUGGGUGGUGGUGGUGGUGCCCAUGACCCAUUCGACAUAUUCCAAUCCUUCUUCGGUGGCAGCCCAUUUGGUGGUAAGCUUCCCCCCCAACCUCGUUCAGAUUCAUAGUCCUUUAAGAGUGAAAGUGAUGGUAGUUAUACUGAACUGAAAAUACUUGUGGGCGGUAGGUGGGAGCAGCAGAGGAAGAAGGCAAAGGAGGGGAGAGGACGUAAUCCAUCCCCUCAAGGUUUCGUUGGAGGAUCUGUACAAUGGGACAUCUAAGAAGCUCUCGCUCUCCCGCAAUGUAAUCUGCACCAAGUGCAAAGGGUUAGUUUCAAAAUAUCUGCUUUGAUGAAUUAUUUAUGAUGCAACAAGUCUUUUGUUGGGUUUGCUUUUCUACUUUCCUGUACUUACGAACAGUAAUUUGGUGUGGUUAUUUGCAGGAAGGGGUCUAAGUCAGGUGCAUCAAUGAAAUGUUCUGGCUGCCAGGGAUCUGGAAUGAAAGUUUCAAUAAGACACCUUGGCCCCUCUAUGAUUCAACAAAUGCAGCAUCCUUGCAAUGAGUGCAAGGGUACUGGAGAAACAAUCAAUGACAAGGAUCGCUGCCCACAAUGUAAGGGUGAGAAGGUCAUUCAGGAGAAAAAAGUCUUGGAGGUUAUUGUUGAGAAGGGGAUGCAAAAUGGACAGAAGAUUACGUUCCCUGGAGAAGCUGAUGAAGCGGUAAGGCAACGGAUUUUGUUGUUAUUUUUUCUUUUUAAUGCUCUCUGAGUUAUAUUUUCGAGUACAUUGAGUACUGUUUCAAGGUGUAGUUGUCUUAGUUGCUGACUGUACAUUUUGUCAUUUUUUAAAUUUGUGCAGCCCGACACUGUCACAGGUGACAUUGUAUUUGUUCUACAACAGAAAGAGCACCCGAAAUUUAAGCGAAAGGGUGAUGACCUAUUUGUUGAGCACACCCUGUCACUGACAGAAGCUCUCUGUGGCUUUCAAUUUGUAAUAACUCAUUUGGAUGGCCGGCAACUCCUCAUCAAAUCCCAGCCUGGGGAAGUAGUCAAGCCGGGUAAGUACAACUGGAUGGAUGUUAGUCUGAAUUUGUCAGCCUUUGUUGUUCAAAACUGAGUUUGUUGAAUAAUUUCUAGUUUCUAUAAAUUGUUCAACUUCACCAUUGGCAAUAUUCUUUCAGAUUUGUGAGCUGAUAGGAUUUUCCAUUUUUCUUGAGUCUUGACAGUGAUGCCUUGGUAGUGAUGCCUUGUGCAUGAACUUUUAUUCCUAGUACCAGUGUGACUGUCUAAUUUUUGGGCAUGUUGUUGUUUUCUGUUCAAAGUUCAGUUAUUUUUUGCUAUUUGAGUAGUGAUAUCUUGUUUUUGUACAGUGUUCUUUAACAUAUUGUUGUUUCUUUUCACCCCAGGAAACACUUUUAAGCAAUAUGUGCAAGUGAUCGUGGAAAUAAUAUCUGUGAACAGGCCUUUAAUAGCCUUGUUAAUGCAACUAGCUAGUUUCUUAAGACAUGUUUUUGGAGGCUUCCUCAGAUAGCUUUAUUGAUGCAAUUUAGCUAGUUUCUUAAGACUGUUGUCGAAGGCAUCAUACAUGUUGAAUUAUGUGAUGAUAUGAUCUAUUCUAGAUUCAGAUGGAACUACUAUUAGAGAUUUAUUGGAUGUGAUGCAUUGCCCUUGGUUCCUUUAUGCUGAAUAAUUUCUUGUGUUUGUUUCAUGUUAUCAUCUUAUUCAUACAUGCUACUUUUUUCUCUGCAAACAGACCAAUUCAAGGCCAUAAAUGAUGAAGGAAUGCCUAUGUAUCAGAGGCCAUUUAUGAGGGGCAAACUGUACAUUCAUUUCAGUGUUGACUUCCCUGAGUCACUGAGCCCAGACCAGUGCAAGAUGCUGGAGACCGUACUACCUCCAAGGACCUCAGUCCAGCUCACCGAUAUGGAACUGGAUGAGUGUGAAGAAACAACCCUGCAUGAUGUGAACAUUGAGGAGGAAAUGCGAAGGAAGCAACAAGCAGCUCAGGAGGCAUACGAUGAAGAUGACGAUAUGCAAGGUGGUGCCCAGAGAGUGCAGUGUGCUCAGCAGUGAUGAUGUAGAAGAAAAGGGGUGGCCUGAUUUAGUAUUUUCAUUGUUUGGGAGAAAAAGAUUCUCAACAUAUUUAUUUUCUGUUAUAGGCUUCAGAGGUUCUAGUUUUGGUUUGUCUGUCUUUAUUCUUAUGUUUUUCUGAUAACUGACUAUGUAAUGGAAUUCUAGCGGUUGCACCUUCAGACUCAAUGCUCAUAAUUAAUAUUUU